rnacentral:piRNA from 1 species
AUGCAAAUUAAGAGGUGAAUUAUGCAGAA